rnacentral:rRNA from 1 species
GACAGAGGUGCCAAGCGUUAGGCGGAAUCACUGGGCUUAAAGCGUGUGUAGGCGGGUCGUUAAGUGCUUUGUGAAAUCCCACAGCUCAACUGUGGAACUGCUUGGCAUACUGGCGAUCUUGAGCCAACUAGGGGCAACCGGAACAAACGGUGGAGCGGUGAAAUGCGUAGAUAUCGUUUGGAACGCCAAUGGUGAAAACAGGUUGCUGGGGUUUGUGCUGGACGCUGAGACACGAAAGCCAGGGGAGCGAACGGGG